AGAGUUUGAUCCUGGCUCAGAACGAACGCUGGCGGCGUGCCUAACACAUGCAAGUCGAACGAGAAAGUUUCCUUCGGGAAACUAGUAAAGUGGCGCAAGGGUGAGUAACACGUGAAUAAUCUGCCUAUGAAUUCGGGAUAACUCUGCGAAAGUGGUGCUAAUACCGGAUAAGACCACGUUUCUUAUGUAAUGUGGCCAAAGGAGUCUCAAACUCCGUUUAUAGAUGAGUUCGCGGACCAUUAGCUUGUUGGCGGGAUAACAGCCCACCAAGGCAACGAUGGUUAGCCGGCCUGAGAGGGCGAUCGGCCACACUGGAACUGAGACACGGUCCAGACUCCUACGGGAGGCAGCAGUGGGGAAUAUUGCGCAAUGGGCGAAAGCCUGACGCAGCAACGCCGCGUGAGGGAUGAAGGCUCUUGAGUCGUAAACCUCUGUCAGAUGGGAAGAAUAAUGACGGUACCAUCAGAGGAAGCCCCGGCUAACUCCGUGCCAGCAGCCGCGGUAAUACGGAGGGGGCAAGCGUUGUUCGGAAUUAUUGGGCGUAAAGAGUAUGUAGGCGGCUGGAUAAGUCAGGCGUGCAAGCCCACGGCUCAACCGUGGAAUUGCGUUUGAAACUAUUCAGCUUGAGUACAGGAGAGGAAGGCGGAAUUCCCAGUGUAGCGGUGAAAUGCAUAGAUAUCAGAAGGAACAUCAAUGGCGAAGGCAGCUUUCUGGACUAAUACUGACACUGAGGUACGAAAGCGUGGGUAGCAAACAGGAUUAGAUACCCUGGUAGUCCACGCCGUAAACGAUGAUAACUAGCCGUUGGGGGGAUUUACCCUUUAGUGGCGAAGCUAACGCGUUAAGUUAUCCGCCUGGGGAGUACGGCCGCAAGGUUAAAACUCAAAUGAAUUGACGGGUGCCCGCACAAGCGGUGGAGCAUGUGGUUUAAUUCGAUGCAACGCGAAGAACCUUACCUGGUCUUGACAUCCUACGAACUUACUAGAGAUAGUUUGGUGCCUUCGGGAACGUAGUGACAGGUGCUGCAUGGCUGUCGUCAGCUCGUGUUGUGAAAUGUUGGGUUAAGUCCCGUAACGAGCGCAACCCUUAUCCUUAUUUGCCAGCACGUAAUGGUGGGAACUAUAAGGAGACUGCCGGUGAUAAACCGGAGGAAGGCGGGGACGACGUCAAGUCAUCAUGGCCCUUACGACCAGGGCUACACACGUGUUACAAUGGGAAGGACAAAGGGUUGCUAAACCGCGAGGUGGUGCUAAUCUCACAAAUCUUUUCGUAGUCCGGAUCGGAGUCUGCAACUCGACUCCGUGAAGUCGGAAUCGCUAGUAAUCGUAGAUCAGAACGCUACGGUGAAUACGUUCCCGGGUCUUGUACACACCGCCCGUCAUACCAUGGGAGUGGGUUGCACCAGAAGUGGCUAGUCUAACCUUCUGAGGACGGUCACCACGGUGUGAUUCAUGACUGGGGUAAAGUCGUAACAAGGUAACC
rnacentral:rRNA from 1 species